UCGGGUUGGUUCUCGAAAGCUUCCCGCGUGGAAACACAGUCAGCAGAAAAACUAGUGUGCAUACGGACGGCGAACGGAGCGGUUGUUUGUCUGGUGACGCUUGGCGGCUACGUUCGGUGCUGGUCGAGAGCAACAACUUGUUGUUGGUGUCGAGAGUUUCGUACCCGUGCUCGGGAAGGAAACCACCCAAGAAAGCAUAGUCGUGCAAAGCAAUUACCAAUUACACGUACACGCACGGCGCGGGAUGGUUUCGUAGGAUCAUCAGCUGCAGUUCGGCUCUCCGAUCCGACGUUGGCGUUGGCACGAUAAUCGUCUGAUCGUAUCUCGUUGUGCGAUCUACAGACGGCUCAAAACGUGCCACGCGCACUCACAUUCCUGCUUUCACGCUAAUACUCUGUAAGCGUCUUGUAUGUGAAGCUGUACGGACGAAAUCCGCAAACGAGGAACGAUCGUAAUUAGAAGGUUACCACCAGAAUGGAUGAAGGCAGCUUCUCUCUGCCGACGAUCUGCCUGUCUGUCCGUCUCAGGCACGGAGCGUGUUGGAAGUGCACGCGGGGCGCAGCUUGUGAAAAUUGACACACUCACACUCGAUGUCACACUAGCGUUUACGGGCAUAUCUUAUCGCGCUAUCGCACACAGGUUCUGUUUUAGUGAGUUCAGAUUUCCGACGACUCUCCCCCCCCCCCUCUCCUGUGUGGCUGGGAUUGGGUUGUGUCUGUGUGAUAGUAGUACCGAGGGCUCGCUAUCGCAAAUGUAGCGUCGUGGUGAUAACGAGAACCCUCGCCGAAAAACACAUGCCGCACUGUCGUGCAUCGUGCCAGUUCCUUUCUAGCAGAUAGGGAGACUCGGUUUUUCGGACGACGGGCGCGAUUAUAGUUGGAACUAAAAAUGGUAUGUUCCUGCUCGGUAGCAUUCUUUUAGUCCCUUCUCCAGCGGGGCGAUAUCUGUCAACCCGGAAGUGUAACUAGUCGUUAUCAGGGCUGAAAUUCCACCAAUUUCUUGCCAGUGAGCACAUUUCCGACACACAUUUGCUUAUCUCACUAGCACUGCUGUACUUCGGGGGAGAUAUGGUUUUAAUGGCGUCCGAAACCCUCAACCUCCAGCAAGCUCUAUUUUAAUGGUUCCAAUUCCAAUUCAAUAAACCUCACCUCAGUCGGCACAUAAAUUAGCGGUGUAUUAGGCAAGCGGGAGAAACAAUUAAAACUUAAUUUUACCAUCUCUGCCUCGGCGGCAGCACGGUGCGGCCCAGGGCUUAAAGGUUACGCAUUAUCAGUGCGCACACGGUAGCUCAGUUGAUAGCGGCGGGAGCGUUUGUCUGUGGCGCUUGCGGGCUGUGGCCUUGAUGAUGAAGAUGAUGAUCAUCUCACGAAAGCUCGAGAAUACGCAGGAGGGAUUUCGAUGGAGGGGCGCACUAGGGCGUACUGCAAACUUUCGGCAUGAAUGAAUUGGAAGAAGCCGGCUUGAAGAAGGAUCGGUUCGACAACGUAACGCGUUGUCGCGCGCGCGGUCGCCGCGGUUUCGUAAUGAGUCCGGCCGGGAGUUGGACGGGGGUAACAUCGUGUAAUCAACCACACAGACUCACAUACUUACACACCUCUGUGUGUGUGUGUGUAGAAUGGGCUACAAAAAAUAAAAGAAACAAUCGGCGAGGCCCCCACUUAACGCCUCGCGCAAAACGGUGUGCGUUUCGGUGUGCGCGCAAGAUGCGCACGAAACAAAAAAAAAACACACACACACACACACUCAGGGGAACACACAUAUCAGCAGGUCUAUGAGCCGGCCCACCGGGCGGGUGGUAGAGUUUGUGGUUCAAGGGGUGCGAUAGAUGUGCGUGUGGUUGUGCGCGAGGGUUGGGUAUAUUUAAUCACACCGCAUCAUCAGUACUGUCGCGGCCGCGUAGAUGCGCAAGGGAAGGGAGUGGGGAGGGAGCUGUGGUGAGGGUAGAUUGGAUUGGGGUGAAUCGCGUUUGCUUCGCGAACGAAUGCGCCAGGGUUAAACGCCAUACCGGUGCGCUCGGGCACGCUAGUGUAGUUCCGACGAUUGGCGCAACGCGACGCGCGUGUAACGUAACCCGCGGUUUUUGGCUGGGUUUCCCAUUUAUCGCUACGCAUUGCGCUUUUCGAAUCGAUCGAAGUUUAAUCCAAAAAACGAAACCAUUUUUUUUCGUUUUUCAUUUCUCGAUUUUCCUCCCGUUUGUUGGGGGAAAAUAUCCUUCCGUUACGGGGCGUGGUGCGUGGACAUAUUCAUUCCGGUUCAAGACAGGCGCUCAGCAGUGAAAUCAUGUAAGAUUUUUUGCGGAUUGUAUGUGUGUGUGUGUACAUGACGAUCGUUAGUGUUCGGCACGUGGAGGCAAACUUUAUGACAGCUGUCAGAUAGUAGUAGUUUAGUCGCGUGGCUACGUGUGGGUGUACAUGCUUUGUGUUUGUGUAGUGUAUCCAAACCCUUUCGUCUACCGUUCUGCUGCAAUCCGUUGAGUUCUGGAUCUCUGUUAUCAUCCUCAUCCAGUGGAUACGUAACUCCAAACACGGCGGGGCACACCUUUCACAACUCUUCGCCAUUACGGCACCAUUUUAGCCUACUUUUUUGAUAAAUGUGGCUCAUCUCGUUGAUGGAUAUACGGUUUGCUCCUCCACCCUUCUGCCGGUUGUGUUUGCUAUGAUAAUAAAAAGUAAAAAAACAAAAAAACACUUGCGCGCACUGUACCGGGCAAUUUGUAUCAUCC